AGUGAACGCUGGCGGCGUGCUUAACACAUGCAAGUCGAACGAGAACGGAUUAUAGCUUGCUAUAAUUGUCAGCUAAGUGGCGCACGGGUGAGUAAUGUAUAGGUAAUAUGCCUCUUACUAAGGGAUAACAAAUGGAAACGUUUGCUAAUACCUUAUACUCCUUAUUAACAGAAGUUAAUAAGGGAAAGAUUUAUUGGUAAGAGAUUAGCCUGUAUUGUAUCAGUUAGUUGGUGGGGUAAUGGCUUACCAAGACUAUGACACAUAACUGGUUUGAGAGGAUGAUCAGUCACACUGGAACUGAGACACGGUCCAGACUCCUAUGGGAGGCAGCAGUGGGGAAUAUUGCACAAUGGACGAAAGUCUGAUGCAGCGACGCCGCGUGGAGGAUGACACAUUUCGGUGCGUAAACUCCUUUUAUAUGAGAAGAUAAUGACGGUAUUAUAUGAAUAAGCACCGGCUAACUCCGUGCCAGCAGCCGCAGUAA
rnacentral:rRNA from 1 species